ACAGGUUAUAAAAUCAGAGCAUCAAUGGAGGCCAUCUAUUCCAACAAGAACAUUAAGAAGCAUGUGACGAGGGCAACUGGAGAUGGUGAAUUUUCUGAUGAGAGUUCCAAAUCUGAUGACAUCAUAUACUCUGAAGUUCGCAUCAUUGACUCAAAUCAAAAUAGAACAAAGGAGGAGGUCACCUACUCAAAUGUAGCCUUCUCUAAUCCAG